rnacentral:tRNA from 1 species
AAGGAUUUAAGUUAAAUUAAACUUGAAGCCUUCAAAGCUUCCAAUAAGGACCCCCCCCCCUUAAGCCUUA